GGGCGAGUGGCGGAAUUGGCAGACGCGCUGGACUUAGGAUCCAGUGGGUAACACCAUGGAGGUUCAACUCCUCUCUCGCCCA
rnacentral:tRNA from 1 species